CCCAUCUUUGGUAUGGUCUCCAUGGAGAAUGACCCUGCCUGGAGAAUUCCACAGACAGGACACAGGUUGGAACUCUCCACAGUGGCUAGGUAAAGAUGGUAGUGCAACUGGCCUCAUUUGGUGCAGUGUGACUGGAACAUUGAGGAAUUUGGGCUGUUCCUAAGAUGUCAUGAAAGUGUGGAGUAGAGAAACCCUGUUGAAGAAAGUGAUUGGGAGAAAAAGCCACUGCCUUUGUCCUGUCCUAUAAAGGUUCAUGUGUUGGAAUCUUGGUCCGUGAGGUGCUGAAGUGCUAUGAUGGGGCUCCACCAU